AAUCAUUUAAACCAAACAAAAGCCCUCGGAAGUGUCGCGUGUGUUUUUUAUUCGGGAAAGAAAAACUGAAGAUUAAGUUUGAAAAUGUUACCAAACAAUGCGCUGACAGAAGGACGAUGUAAACCACGCCAAUAUCAUCGGAUUUAUUAGCUUUGAAGUCUUUGAUAGAUCGAUUCUUUAUUUGGCUGUGUACGACAGUUCUGUGAUUUGUCUGUAUUGUAACGCUGCAAAUGAAAUUGGCAGGUUUAAACUAUCUGUGAUUGAUGGAGAAUUAAGUAAACCUGUCUCUACAGGCAUUGUUCGUGUUUACUUUCACAACACUGCUGCUGUACAUUUAGUGUAUUUCUGUUCGAUCCCGAUUGUUGCUCAUAAUCGAAUGAUCGGGUAGCUCAGUUAAAUAUAAAGAGAAAGGAGCUCGUCCAGAAUGACUCUGGCAGUGUUUUUUGGCUGUGCUUUCAUAGCGUUUGGUCCAGCUUUCGCCCUGUUUGUUUUUACUAUCGCCAAAGAUCCAUUAAGAAUCAUCAUUCUGAUCGCAGGGGCGUUUUUUUGGCUGCUGUCUCUGUUGCUGUCCUCUCUGGUGUGGUUCAUCGCUGUGAAGGCUAGUAACGGGUCAGAGGAUCCCACCCUGCCGAGGGCCCUGCUUAUUUUUGGAGUUUUCUUUUCGGUCUUGCUCCAGGAAGUGUUUCGUUUUGCCUACUACAGACUGCUCCGGAAGGCCAACGAGGGUCUGGCAGCCAUUAGUGAUGACGAUGGUUUAGCCAUUUCAGUCCGGCAGAUGGCUUACGUGGCUGGGCUGGGCUUUGGCAUCAUGAGUGGUGCGUUCUCCAUGAUCAACAUCCUGUCUGACUCUCUGGGUCCCGGGACGGUCGGCAUCUAUGGAGACUCACAGUAUUACUUCAUUACAGCAGCGCUGAUGACUCUGGCGCUGACGCUGCUGCACACGUUUUGGGGCGUAGUGUUCUUCGAGGGCUGUGAGAAGAACCGCUGGUGGGUCAUCGCUGCUGUCGUCUGUCUCCACUUGUUAGUCGCUGGCCUGUCGCUGUUGAACCCGCUGUAUGAAGGCAGCCUGCCUCCUGUGUACGUCAUUACGCUGCUGAUGGCCGUCUGGGCCUUCUUCUCAUCUGGAGGAUCACUAAACAACCUUAAUGCACUCUGCACACGUAAUUUUGAGAUUAGGUUGAGCAAACUCUGGUUUUUCGGGUUCAAGAAGGUGGAUUGGUUCAUCACCAUAGUAACACUACACGGCUAACCUGCUCCAGAGCAGAUUUUAUUCUGGGUUUGAGAUCGCAAACCAAAACUGGACCAAUCGGCUGCAGGAAAGCUGAAGGGGAAUCUUCAUAAGAUGGUUUUUGUCACACAGUACCUAGUGAGAUCCAGGACGAGAGAACGGCUGAGUCUGCUGCUUGACUGAACGGCAGCGGUUUGCGAAAGAGCAUAUCUACCAGCUCCAAACCCUGAGGGGAUCCAGACACGUCCCCUCCAGCAUCAGUGAUCUCAGACGGGCCAUGAGACUCUCACACAAACACUGUAAAUAGCUUGAUCUGAAUGCAAAUCAAUAAGACAGAUCUUUAAUAUUAUUUUAUUUUAAAAGCAACAUUCUCUGGCUCUUCUUGUGAAUGUUUGUGGUUUUGAGUUUUCUUCCUUGAUGUCCUUUACAUUUUGAAUGAAGCCUUAUUGUAGAGCCACUGUUAGGGGAAGAAAGUGACCAAAACAGUACCUCUUCACCCUCUUUCACUCAUUUAAUCAUCAUUAUCAUUAUUAUUAUUAUUAUUAUUAUUAUUAUUAUUAUUAGUCAAGAGCAUUUACAUUUACUGGCAUUAAAGGCUUUUCAUAUUUGUACUGUACAUUCUGGAACAUAUCUUUGUUGUGACAAAUGAAUGCACAAUGAGAACAUUUAACUUUUACGCUGUUCUCAAACUAAACAAAUAUCUCAGUGUGUAAUUAUGCAGUUUUUGGACAGAUUGAUGCCUGGUCAUCACAGUUUUAAAAAGUCAUUUUUCAUCAGCGUUGAAGUCAUUUGGUUAACACUUUAUUUUACAGUGUCCUUGCUACCCAUUACAUGUACUUACUAUAGUAAUAACCCUAUAUAGUAAGUACAUGUUGUUAAUUAAUAUUACUCGGUACCUACAGUAACUAGGACACAUUAAAAUAAAGUGUAACUGCCAUUUUUCAUUAAUGUAGAAUUAAAGUAAUUUGGGUAACACUUUGUGUCCUUGUUACAUGUACUUACUAUAGUAAUACCAGUAAAUUAUGCAUAAUUACAUAUAACUAACCCUAUAGUAAGUACAUGUUAAUUAAUAUCACUCAAUAACGACAGUAAUAUGGACACAUUAAAACAAAGUGUAACCAUCAUUUGUUUGUAGCUCAGUAUACAAUGGGAAGAACAAAGCAGCUAAACUUCAUUUUCAUCAUAUUUCUGACAAUUGAAUGCAAACUUUACAUGUGUGGAUGGGAAGCAAUAUCUGGAUAUUCCAGAGUCUUUUCUGUUCAUUAAUAAGCACUUCAGAAGUGGUGCUGGACCAUGUUGUUAUCAUGUGGAGGACAGUUGAAGUUAUCUGAGACUUGGAUGUACAUUUCACACUUGUCAUCUCAGUGACUUGAUACUAACACAGCUUUAAUUCCUAACCCAGCACACUAACAUCACAGCUUUUACUUACACAUCAGCUGUUUUCCAGCCUUAAAGCACAUUCAGUACACUCAUUGUGGCGCGUCUGUGUUUGAACUUGUUGCUUAUCAAACACGAUCAGCAUACGUUGCCUUCAGUAACCACCAACAUUCGCUGUGCUUCUGUAUGUUAAUGUAUUGCUUUGUGUACCCAUCCUCUGUGUCUGUGUGCAAGCGGUUUCUGGUCUGUAUUUGGCAUCGUGUUAAGAACUGUGCAGAUGGAGCUCUCUUCAUGGUCUAUUCUAUAUAUUGGACACAAUAACUUGGUGCUUUCCUGAAUUUCAAUUACAAAAGGACUUGUAAUUAUGUAACAUUUUAAUGCUGCUUUAUAAAGUUUCUAAGAAUAUGAUGUGCCAAACAGGGAAUCUGAUUGCUGUUCAAAUUGAUUUGGAAAAGAGAAAAAAAGAUUAAAAAGACCCUGUUAAUCA